CGAACGCUGGCGGCGUGCCUAAUACAUGCAAGUCGAGCGAGCGGAACCAGCAGAUCUGCUUCGGCAGUGACGCUGGGAAAGCGAGCGGCGGAUGGGUGAGUAACACGUGGGGAACCUGCCCCAGAGUCUGGGAUACCACUUGGAAACAGGUGCUAAUACCGGAUAAGAAAGCAGAUCGCAUGAUCAGCUUUUAAAAGGCGGCGUAAGCUGUCGCUCAGGGAUGGCCCCGCGGUGCAUUAGCUAGUUGGCAAGGUAACGGCCUACCAAGGCAAUGAUGCAUAGCCGAGUUGAGAGACUGAUCGGCCACAUUGGGACUGAGACACGGCCCAAACUCCUACGGGAGGCAGCAGUAGGGAAUCUUCCACAAUGGACGCAAGUCUGAUGGAGCAACGCCGCGUGAGUGAAGAAGGUUUUCGGAUCGUAAAGCUCUGUUGUUGGUGAAGAAGGAUAGAGGUAGUAACUGGCCUUUAUUUGACGGUAAUCAACCAGAAAGUCACGGCUAACUACGUGCCAGCAGCCGCGGUAAUACGUAGGUGGCAAGCGUUGUCCGGAUUUAUUGGGCGUAAAGCGAGCGCAGGCGGAAAAAUAAGUCUAAUGUGAAAGCCCUCGGCUUAACCGAGGAAUUGCAUCGGAAACUGUUUUUCUUGAGUGCAGAAGAGGAGAGUGGAACUCCAUGUGUAGCGGUGGAAUGCGUAGAUAUAUGGAAGAACACCAGUGGCGAAGGCGGCUCUCUGGUCUGCAACUGACGCUGAGGCUC
rnacentral:rRNA from 1 species